GACGUAGGGCGCGAGCGUUGUCCGGAUUUAUUGGGCGUAAAGAGCUCGUAGGCGGCUUGUUGCGUCGACUGUGAAAACCCGCGGCUUAACUGCGGGCUUGCAGUUGAUACGGGCAGGCUAGAGUUCGGUAGGGGAGACUGGAAUUCCUGGUGUAGCGGUGAAAUGCGCAGAUAUCAGGAGGAACACCAAUGGCGAAGGCAGCUCGCUGGGACGUGACUGACGCUGAGGCGCGAAAGCGUGGGGAGCAAACAGG
rnacentral:rRNA from 1 species